AGUGAACGCUGGCGGUAGGCCUAACACAUGCAAGUCGAACGGCAGCACAGUAAGAGCUUGCUCUUACGGGUGGCGAGUGGCGGACGGGUGAGGAAUACAUCGGAAUCUACUUUUUCGUGGGGGAUAACGUAGGGAAACUUACGCUAAUACCGCAUACGACCUACGGGUGAAAGCAGGGGAUCUUCGGACCUUGCGCGAUUGAAUGAGCCGAUGUUGGAUUAGCUAGUUGGCGGGGUAAAGGCCCACCAAGGCGACGAUCCGUAGCUGGUCUGAGGGGAUGUUCGGCCACACGGGACUUGGAACACGUCCCAGAUUCCUACGGAAGGCACAAGUGGGAAUAUUGGACCAAUGGGCCAAAGCCUGACCAAGCCAACCCGCGUGGUUGAGAAGGCCUUCGGGUUGUAAAGCCCUUUUGUUGGGAAAGAAAAGCAGCAGGUUAAUACCCCGCUGUUCUGACGGUACCCAAAGAAUAAGCACCGGCUAACUUCGUG
rnacentral:rRNA from 1 species